GCCGUUGCGGUGCUUGCUGUCUUGUAAACAGCAGGUCAUCGGUUCGAGCCCGAUAGACGGCUCCA
rnacentral:tRNA from 1 species